rnacentral:piRNA from 1 species
UUUAAAGCAAAGAUGUCUGUCCGUCCUUG